CCUGUCAGGAGUUUUUGACUUGGUAAAUACUGUGUUAACACCACAACCUGAGGCUCUUUGCCCUCAAGUGGUCAGAACACACAGAGUAAGCGAUGACAAUUAAAAAAGAAAACGAAGAAGAAGACGACAACGACGACAAAGACUAUCUUGUUUCCCAAUCUUCAGACAUUCCCAUGUGACCAUCUUCUUUUCUGAUAAUAUUAUUGCAAGCCAAAAAAAGUGCCUGAUUGAUCUCUGUGGCAUCUCUUAGACUUGAAUCACACCUUCAUCUGAUAGUAGGCAUUACGUCACUGGUUGGUGUGUUCCUCUAAGACUAGACAGAGAGUGGAUCCGCAAACUUUUCCUCCAAGGACCAGACGGUAAAUGUUUUGGGCUCUGUCAGCCGUGCGACAGAUAGCAGCUGUGGUGCAAAUGGAUGGGCUGUGUUCUAAUUAAACUCUAUUUUCAAAAACAAGCAGGUGACCCAGUUUUGCCAACUCCUGUUCUGGAAGAACAAUAAAUGCCAGAAUUUCUGUGUUUAAUUCUGCAAGUAAAAUCAUUUGACAAAAUUGUGGAUGUAGUGAGUUAUUCUUUUUGAUUUCCGGAAGUCAGAAAAGUACUUAGCUAGUGUUGUUUUCAAAAUCAACUGUAUCUCUGUAAUGAUCUUUUCUAAGUGUAAUGACAGUAGCUGGGGGAGAAGAGAUGCAAAGUAGGAAAUCAGAGUCCCUGUUUUGUUCUCUCCUAUUUUGUCCUAUGUAGUCUUGAUAGAAUUCUGAGCUAACCAGUGUCCUUCCAAAUGUCUCAAAAUAAUCUGUAUUUUCCAAGUCAACCCCAUGAUCACCAGACUGAGACUUUUGAGUUGUUCUGAUCACCAUCAGUUUGCACUCCAACCCCUAGUGUUACAGGCUAGAAAGAGGAGAGUUGGAUACGCACACUAUUGGCAGGUUCUCAUGCGUUUUAUUUUUUAUUUGUUUAUUUAUUUUUUAAGAUUUAAUUUAUUUAUUAAUGAGAGACACACAGAGAGAGGCAGAGACAUAGGCAGAGGGAGAAGCAGGCUCCCUGCAGGGAGCCCAAUGUGGGACUCGAUCCCAGGUCUUCAGGAUCACACUCUGGGCCCAAGGCACACGCUCAAACGCUGAGCCCUCCAGGUGUCCCCCUGCGUUUUAUUCCCCAGCGGUAAGAAGACUCCAGUGCAUUCAGGAGGCUUCAAAGAACAGAAAAACCUUCUACAUUAGCUCAUCUGGUAUUUUUUAUUUGUAUCCCGCAGGUGUGCAGGGCUAUGUUAGAAAAGCAUUGCAAAGUGGAAUUCACAUGUUAGUAGUUCUACAACGUGUCCAAAUCGCAGAUCUUUAAUUUAUACCAUAGUUUAGAGUUUUUAAUUUGGACUAGACUAGAGUCUUAAGGGAAAUCGCUUUUUCUCAUAAAAGAACAAACUGUAAGAGGACAUUAGCAUUUUGUAUGCAAAAAAAGUGCUGAUUAUGACAAAUGAGCAUAAUUAAUUUGUAAAGACUCCUAAGCAGAUUCUUUUUUUUUUUAGCUUUAAGUUCUCAUUUAUUUGUCAUAGAGCAAAUUUUUGCUAAAAUAAUUAGAGUUCACCUUUUAUGUUCCUUUAAACGUGCCUUUCCCUCCCAGUUAGGCUGCAUGCAUUACAGUAACACAGGAUGGCAUUUUUUUUUUUUUUCCAGAUUUUAUUUUGAGAGUGAGAGCUAGGGCAGGGGCAGAGGGAGAGGGAGAGAGAGAAUCUCAAGCAGACUCCACACUGAGGAUGGAGCACAACUGGGGCCUUGAUCCCAGACUCUGAGGUCAUGACCUGAGCCAAAAUCAAGGUUUGGACACUUAAGCGAUGGAGCCACCCAGGCGCCCAUAAGGAUGGCCCCUUUAGUACCUGUACUCUCACAGCCUUUGAGUGCUGUGUGUCUGCGUGACCUUCGGCUUCUGCAUGACUUAACAGGACAUAAACUAUUUUCUCCUUGUGUAAAAGGUCCGAGUGCCUGGAGGGACUGUAAGACUGGGUAUGGGGGAUCGUAAGAGUCUGUGAUAAUCAUGCAUGACUGUCAAGUUCUGCUAAUCCUAAAUGAAAAAAACAUUUAGCCUCGUCUACUUUCAGAGCUACGUUACAAGUGGAAUAGAUCUGUAUGAAUAAGUAAAA
rnacentral:lncRNA from 1 species